UUGGAGGGCAAGUCUGGUGCCAGCAGCCGCGGUAAUUCCAGCUCCAAUAGCGUAUAUUAAAGUUGUUGCAGUUAAAAAGCUCGUAGUUGAAUUUCGGGGUUAGUAGGUUGGUCAUGCCUCUGGUAUGUACUGGUCUCACUGAUUCCUCCUUCCUGAUGAGCCGCAAUGCCAUUAAUUUGGUGUUGCGGGGAAUUUGGACUGUUACUUUGAAAAAAUUAGAGUGUUUAAAGCAAGCUAACGCUUGAAUACAUUAGCAUGGAAUAAUGAAAUAGGACGUUCGAUCCUAUUUUGUUGGUUUCUAGGAUUGACGUAAUGAUUAAUAGGGAUAGUUGGGGGCAUUAGUAUUCAAUUGUCAGAGGUGAAAUUCUUGGAUUUAUUGAAGACUAACUACUGCGAAAGCAUUUGCCAAGGAUGUUUUCAUUAAUCAAGAACGAAAGUUAGGGAAUCGAAGACGAUCAGAUACCGUCGUAGUCUUAACCAUAAACUAUGCCGACGAGGGAUCGGAUGAUGUUAAUUUUUUAAUGACUCAUUCGGCGCCUUACGGGAAAC
rnacentral:rRNA from 1 species